CAGCGGAGGGAUCAUUGCUGGAACGCGCCCUAGGCGCACCCAGAAACCCUUUGUGAACUUAUACCUUACUGUUGCCUCGGCGCAUGCUGGCCCCCUCGGGGUCCCCUGGAGACAGGGAGCAGGCACGCCGGCGGCCAAGUUAACUCUUGUUUUUACACUGAAACUCUGAGAAAAAAACACAAAUGAAUCAAAACUUUCAACAACGGAUCUCUUGGUUCUGGCAUCGAUGAAGAACGCAGCGAAAUGCGAUAAGUAAUGUGAAUUGCAGAAUUCAGUGAAUCAUCGAAUCUUUGAACGCACAUUGCGCCCUCUGGUAUUCCGGAGGGCAUGCCUGUUCGAGCGUCAUUUCAACCCUCAAGCAUUGCUUGGUGUUGGGGCACUGCUUUUUACCAAGCAGGCCCUGAAAUCUAGUGGCGAGCUCGCCAGGACCCCGAGCGUAGUAGUUAAACCCUCGCUCUGGAAGGCCCUGGCGGUGCCCUGCCGUUAAACCCCCAACUUCUGAAAAUU
rnacentral:misc_RNA from 1 species